UGAGCUUCCAAAUCAGACUGCUGUUAAACUGGCUCACUCCAUAUACUCUGUGCUACAGCAAUUUAAUAUUUCAUUAAAAAGCAUUAAUGAUGGCUCCAGUGAAUUUCUCCUAUUCAAGCUCCAUAAUGACAGCAGUUCAAGUGAGUGUUGAUCUCUGAGUGAUGCAACACAAAAACAUCGCCUAACAAAGGAACACUUGGAGUGCUACUCAUAUUCUCUGCAACUUGAGGAGAAAAAGAAGUGUUCUAUAAGAAAUUUGGACAAGACUCUGCAAGAAGUUAAGAGGUCCUUAAAGGCAACUGUGAAUUAACGGAGACUGGUUUUGAGAAAAUCAGUCCUGAUUUGUUUCUCUUGGAGUUUUCUUCUUUAUGUGAUCCUUCAUAAAAGCUGCUAAUAUGGGAAAGAUUGAAAUCAGCAAGUUUCUGGCUGUAAGCUAAAAGAGGCUCUUGAAUCAUAUUUCCGCCUGCUUAGCAAAUUUCUCUUGCGACAAUUGGAUGUUAUUUGGGGUUCCAUACUAGCAGGAAGAAGUACAAGCAAAGCUAAGUCAUUUUGAGAAUAAAUAUUAUCUCUCUAUAUAUUUGUAAAUGUUAUUUUCUUUUUUUUUUGAGGUUUAUGAUUGAUCCUUGGCAUGUGUCCCCUUGUGUAUUGCUCUACUAAAAAUAGCCUAAAAAAGAAUUUUCCCCUCGAUGUGGAGCU
rnacentral:lncRNA from 1 species